AAGCAACCAAGGAAUGAACAUUGGCACGUACCUCUGGCCUCCAUGUACACAUGCACACCACAGACAGGGAGACACUACAAGGCUCCCUCUUGAAAGGUGAACACAGCAGAGCCAUUUUACAUUCCUCUAUUAAGAAUUGUCGCUUUCCGCUGACCGACCCAGGAACUAGAACCCUCACCCAGUGGCUGGUGGAAGCAGAGACAGACAUCCACAGAUAUACACUGAGCUGAAAUCGGGAAUUUAGUUGAAGAGAGGGAGGAAUGAAGAGCGAAGGGGUCUGUACCAGGUUGGAGAAACCCACAGGAACAGUUGGCCUGAACAAGG
rnacentral:lncRNA from 1 species